GUCUGGGAGGCACUGUGGGGAUAAAGGUAAGAGCAAUACAGUAGGAAUGUGGAGACUGGCUCUACCAUGAAAUUUACCAUGUGAAAGUGCACAUCAAGUGAUGAACUUCUUCAUGCCUCAGUUUUCUCAUUUACUGUGAAAUGUUUGGAUUGGACUAUAUAACCUCUAGAUCCCUUCUAUCUAUGAAAGGCUAUAAUUCAGUAUUAUGAAGGCUGUAUGCUCAAGUCCUUGGAAACUGAAUGGGUCAUACUCACUUCUAUUUAUAAUUUGGUUUUUAUCUUUGCACUCAAUGCUCUUUGGAGAAAUGUAGAUUUCCAUUCCUAAAUUUUUCUAACCAACAAAGGAAAAGCUCUAUUUUAGUUUGUUUGACAAAGAAACGUCUAUAACUAGAUUGAGUUUCCCAUAUAAUAUUUGCUUUGCCUUCUUCCAUCUUUGCCUAAAAAAGGAGUUUCUAAAAAACCAGAAAUGCUUUCUGUACUCAGGCAUAGCAGGAAUGAGGCUGCCUUGGCUGAAGGAAGAAGAUGGUGCAUAUCUGGAGCCCCAGUGGAGCAGGACUAUUUGCCAUCUGCUGCACUAGUUGCCUCGUCUCCAUAUCAGGCCUGGUCUGUAGUUUGCUGCAAAUACUAGGAGCCGAGCCACUUCCCACCCAUGGCAAGCCUUGAACCCUUUGUAUUCUGGCUGCCAAGAUGAUCUGAAAGCAGGGAGCCACUUUUCAGCUUAGGGAAAAACAUGUGCAUUAAAUGGAAGUAGAUUCUUCUUUUCCCUCCCUCUUGCCACUCCCAGCCAUUUUUAAAGCUUUAUACUAAAAAGGAGGAAGAUCCGUCUGACAAAGCUGAGGAAGAUGAUGGAAUUGCCAGGCCAGAAUGGUUUAUUAAUGAUCCAUGGGAAAAAAAACAAUUGUCCUGCUGGCAGCUUCACAUGUAAUUAACCAGCUUCACAGAGAGCUGGCUGCCUUCUCCAGGCCUGGCAUCCGCAUACUGCAGAGCUACCUGACACAGCAACACUGGGUUUCUAACAAAAUCUCGCUACUGGGAGAGGGGCAUCUAAAAUAGUGACCUCAACCCACUCGGCGCUCAGGAAACAAGACUGAGAUGGCAGUGCUCCUCCGGAGAAGGCUGGCUGUGUGCUCGGGCUGACACAAAGACUGCGACCUCCAUGCUGGCAACAACCAGCCCUGGGAACUGCCACUCCCACUGCUCACCAUUAACUGCCCACUCAGAGAACACUCACCAAAGCUCAAGAAGCAGUGACUAUUCAGGAUGAUUACAGAGUUUCAGCUUGCUUUUCAAGUGGCUCGGAAUAAAGAUGCCUGGAUCUAGAUCUUACUAUCAUACAGCUUUAUUUGUAAAGAAGAAAAUAUGCAACUCUUCCUGAGAUCUGAUACAGGCCAACUUCUUCUGCCUAGAUGAAUCAAACCCAGUCUGCCCAAAGAAAAUGUAGCAGAUCUUCUCGGAAACUCAAAUGCCAUCGCCCUGAGGAAAACUUUUCCAUUCAACAAUUGUUAUUUGCUCUGUAUUCUCAUACUAGGUGGCCUAUGCUUUUGAUAACUGCUCUUUCAUAUUUCCUUGUUUACAUUAUUUGUAUGGCCAUCUACAUAACUAGACUAAAAGAUAUUCGAGGGAGAAGUUAUCCUACUAAUUUAUGUAUCAUCCAAAAUUUAUCUAUUGAAGACUACUUUUCUUAAUCUGUGCUUGUAAAAAUCUUGUACUCAUUAAAAAACACUACCCAAAUCUGUUCAUUGUGUUAAUUCUUUCCUGUAAGUGACUCUCCAGGAU
rnacentral:lncRNA from 1 species